UGCCAGCAGCCGCGGUAAUACGGAGGGUGCAAGCGUUGUUCGGAAUUAUUGGGCGUAAAGCGCACGCAGGCGGAUUGUUAAGCUAGAGGUGAAAGCCCCGCGCUCAACGUGGGAAUUGCCUUUAGAACUGGCAGUCUAGAGUCUUGGAGAGGGGAGUGGAAUUCCAGGUGUAGCGGUGAAAUGCGUAGAGAUCUGGAGGAACAUCUGUGGCGAAGGCGGCUACCUGGAUUAAGACUGACGCUGAGGCACGAAAGCGUGGGGAGCAAACAGGAUUAGAUA
rnacentral:rRNA from 1 species